GGCAGACGUGAGCUGAGGGCGCAGAGGCAGGCAGGUGAGAGCGGGAGCUGGAGCAGCAGCUGGGGAGGCAGCGGGAGGGGCCUUCCCGGUCCCCAGGCUGUGGGGCAGGCCAGAGGCCCUGGGACCCACGGGCAGGCAUCUCUGAGGGUCCCCAAGGAACAUGGCUGGGAGCCGUGAGGUGGUGGCCAUGGACUGCGAGAUGGUGGGGCUGGGGCCCCACCGGGAGAGUGGCCUGGCUCGUUGCAGCCUCGUGAAUGUCCAUGGUGCUGUGCUGUACGACAAGUUCAUCCGGCCUGAGGGAGAGAUCACCGAUUACAGAACCCGGGUCAGCGGGGUCACCCCUCAGCACAUGGUGGGGGCCACACCAUUUGCGGUGGCCAGGCUAGAGGUCCCCUUCCCAUCCUCUCCAAAGGCAGCUGAGUGAAAGCAAGCUGACUGGCCUGUGUGACCAGAGCAGGGCAGGCUGUCCGUGUGGGAGGCGAGGCAAGGAACGUGGGGCUGGGGCACUCACAGCUGGGCGCCUGGGCUGCUCUUCUGGCUCAGUGUGGCAGUGGCAGGCGGGCUCUGGAUUCGGCCCACUGGCUUCAAGGCCUGGCUCUGCCACUAACUAGCCGUGUGACUGUCCCAAUUAUCAAAUGGUGCUUGGCAAAUUACACCAAAACUUACCAGUUCAAACAAUGUCAAUACUUAUUUCGCUCGGCCACCUGCAAUUUGGGCAGGUGCUCUGCAGCAGGACAGGCUGUCAGUUAAGGCACCUUGAAGGCUGGAGGCCAGAACCAUUGGAAGGUUUGCUCACCCACCUGUCUGGUGGCUGGUGCUGGCCUGCCUUGGCCACAUCAGUAUCUCGGUGGCUCUUCCCCGUGCUCUCUCCAGCAUGGUGGCUUUGGGGUGGCCAGACUUUUAUUUAUUUAUUUAUUUAUUUAUUGAGAUGGAGUCACGCUCUGUCACCCAAGCUGGAGUGCAGUGGCACGAUCUCAGCUCACUGCAGUCUCCCUCCCAGGCUCAAGCAAUUCUCCUGCCUCAGCCUCCUGAGUGACUGGGACUAGCCACAGCACAUGGGUAAUUUUUGCAUUUUUAGUAGAGACGGGGUCUCACCAUGUUGGCCAGGCUGGCCUCAAACUCCUGGCCUCAGGUGAUCCACCUGCCUCAGCCUCCCAAAGUGCUGGGAUUACAGACGUGAGACACCGUGCCUGGCUGGUGGCCGGACUUCUUAUAGAAUUGCGGUCCCAGACAGAAGUCAGAAGUCAUACAGCCCAGCCCAUAUGCAAUGGGAGGGGAGUUUGAUUCCAUCUUUUUUAAGAAGAGUGUCAAGGAAUUUGCAAACUUGUUUUAAAAUCAUCAGAGUAAGCCUGGGCAUGUUACUCCUCUGCAUUUCAGAUAUUUCCUUUGUAAAACUCGGUUAAAUGCAGCGCUCCCUCCUCACUGUUAGUUUUCUGUGGCUGCCGUAAGGAAGCCAUCAACUUAGUGAUUCACAGCAACACAGAUGUAUUCUCUUACAGUUCUGUAGUUUCAAAGUUCAGCGUGGGUCUCACUGGUCUAAAAUCAAAGUGUCAGUGGCGCUAGGUUCCUUCUGGAUGCUCUGGGGAAGAAUCCAUUUCCUUGCCCUUUCUGGCUUCUAGAGGCUGCCUGAAUAUCUUGACUCACGGCCCCUCCCUCCAUCUUCAAAGCCAGCAACAGCCUGUUUUCCUCACGUGGAUUCACUCUGACCUCCACAUGUAAGGAGCCUUGUGAUUAUAUUGGGCCCACAUGGGUAGGCCAGGCGAUCUCCCCGUUUGAAGGUUGACUGAUUAGCAAUCUAAAUUCUGCCCGGAACUUUAAUUCCUCUUUGCCAGGUAAUGUAUUCACAGAUCCUGGGGACUAGGGUGUGGACAUCUUUGGGAGGUCAUUGUUCUGCCUGCUAUAAUAGAAUUGUUGGGAAGAUUAAACAACAUAAUAUACAUAACGUAAGUUGAGGCACGCUUGGCACCUGGGAAAUACUCAGGAUGUACUAACCAUUGCUCCUACACAGUUCAGCUCCUGAAGGAGUCCAGGUGGGCUUUUGGCACAGAAUGAAACUAUCAAGUGUGAGGAGGGACCUAGUCCAAUCUCUCUUCUUUUCAAAGAUGAUAUAUUUGAAGCCCAGGGAGGGAUGAUAAUAUGCCCAAGGUCACACAGCCAGUCAAGGAGGGGUUGCUCCCUUGCCAGCCCCAGACCCGCCCAGAAGAUGCUGUGUCAUGUAGGGGUGGGCACAUGUCUUCCUGGCCAGAUCCUGCAGCUCCUGAAAGGCAAGCUGGUGGUGGGUCAUGACCUGAAGCACGACUUCCAGGCACUGAAAGAGGACAUGAGCGGCUACACAAUCUAUGACACGUCCACCGACAUGCUGUUGUGGCGUGAGGCCAAGCUGGACCACUGCAGGCGUGUCUCCCUGCGGGUGCUGAGUGAGCGCCUCCUGCACAAGAGCAUCCAGAACAGCCUGCUUGGACACAGCUCGGUGGAAGAUGCGAGGGCAACGAUGGAGCUCUACCAAAUCUCCCAGAGAAUCCGAGCCCGCCGAGGGCUGCCCCGCCUGGCUGUGUCAGACUGAAGCCCCGUCCAGCCCGUUCCCCAGGGACUAGAGGCUUUCGGCUUUUUGGGACAGCAACUACCUUGCUUUUGGAAAAUACGUUUUUAAUAGUAAAGUGGCUCUAUAUUUUCUCUACGC
rnacentral:sRNA from 1 species